UUUUCAUUUGUAAUUUUCAACCAUUUUGUACCAUUUAGCGAUGGUUUUGCGCCACACUGCCGCUUAUAUUUACAGCAUUUCAACCGUGUCAUUUUUGGGCAGUGACAACUGUUGUAACGUGACAAAAAUGUGACACAAGUUCCCCAAAAUGAAAGUCUGUCAGACUUGGAUGAAUUAACGGCUGUUUGAAAACUGUAGUGUUUUAUUUAUAUUGUGCACAUGCUUAAAAAAAAAACCUAAUCAAAAAUAUCUUGAAUAAGGCGCGACAUAAACGGCAAAAGCCACUGGCCGCAAAAAAAGUGUGGGGUUUUAAAAAUAUCUUAAAAAAAACAUUGAACAGGUGCCAAAUUAAAGUAUCUUGGGCGUCCACCGUACUGCUGCUGUGACAAUUUCACUCACGGAUUGAAUUCUUUCUUUUUAUCUAUGCAUCCAUCCAUCCACCCCCAUAAACAUAAGAGGGGCAGGGCGGAGAAGGAAAAUAAGUAGAACGAGAGAUGGCUUCAAAGUGAAAUAGGAGAAGUUAACACGGGAGAGAAAAUAAAGGGUCGAAGCAGACGAGCAAUUUGGCUAACAUGUUAGUUCUCAUGUUAGGUGGCUAGCAGAGAAGGCGGCGCGUCCAUGGUGGACAUCCUUCCUCACGAAAGCCGCCCCUGUUGGGCUGACGAAAGCAGAACCUCCUAGAGCACGACAAAGCGCCAUCAGGGUGCAGCAGACAGACGAGACCAGGGGAAUACGAAGAUGACCAUGACAAGCUGUGUCGUCGGUGACAGAACGCAACCUGGAUGCUCGCUGCUGUCUCGAAAUGACAUUAUCCGUCAAGUCCCGCCCACACACGGCUGACCCGCGCUGCUAGUUGCAAUUUCCGACUGGAAAACUCGGAUUUGCAACUUGUAAUAAACUUAACACACAUUCCUUGCUUUUACACAUGUUUACAUUUCAAAUGGGACUGUCCAAAUUAACAGGUUAGUUUUCCUUAAAGUCACAAUUUUUUUAAAACUUGCAAUUAUCGCACCACCAUUAGUUGGUCUGGUAGUGUGGCGCACACCUACCGAAAGAGAAAGUCACACGAGUGGAGGGAGGAUUUAAACCUGAGAGUAAUGUUUUAUUAUUUGUUUGUAUGCGUUCCUAUGACACGCAUGUGAAAAUGUGUUCGUUGAAUGUAUACUACUACCAUGACUUUAAUGCUGAAUUUUGUUAGCAUGUCAAUGGCGUUUUACAUUGUGCGUUCGCAUUCCGCCGGUGAUGUUUGGAACAAGCUACUUGUUUGUAAAACGAAGUUUGUAUAAAUGUACAGUGUGCGUAAUUGUUUUUGUCAUGCGUUUAGUUUUAUAGUGACAGUUUUACAAAAUGUGCAAUCUGUUGUUUGUUGUUGGGCUCGAAUUUGAAAUGUUUUAAUCAUAUUUGCAUACGGUAAGCGUAUUUGCCCACUCGGAUUUUGAGAAGAGUAUUAAAAACUGGAACAUUUAAGUUUUGAUAAUUUUACUUUGAAUUCAUACACUUGUCAAUCCAUCCAUUUUCUACCGCUUAUUGUCAAUUGUUAUGAAAAUCAUGUGAAUCAUGAUUAAUAAUGUAAAUCGAUUGACGACUCUAAUUCCAACGCUCAAGCCCAAAGUAGGGCUGCAGUUUAUCGAUUUGUUUGGUUUAUUUCUUUUUAAAUUCAUGGGAUUCUUACUGCUAUGCUUAAACUAACGCAGCGGCAAACAAGAUGAGCUAAUUUACAAAAGUCAUCUUGGGGUUAUUUUAAGGCCAGAUCGCACACAACCCUUAAAAACGUCACACAGUAACAUUUUUACAUACCGAAUUUUUUUUUUUUUUUUUGCUAUUCAUGGGAUGCCGUCGUUCAAAGUGUGUCACUACUACUGAACACAGCUUAACUAAUGCGGCGGCAAACAAGAUGAGCUCGUUUUCGAUAUUCAGGUUGUGUUUAUUUUCAGGCCAGAUCGCUCACAUCCUUUAAAAAAGGCAUUUAAAUGUUACCGUUGUCAAUUUUAAAGCUUUUUGUUCUUCGUGAGAUUCCGUAGUUGAAAGUGCGUCACUGCUCCUGAGCGCUGCUUAAAUUAACGCGGCGGCAAACAAGAUGAGCUCAUUUACAAAAAUCAUAUUGGGUUUAUUUUCAGGCCAGAUCGCUCACAGCCCUUCAGAAAACGUCAUUAAAUGUUAACGUAAUCAGCAAU